AUUGAACGCUGGCGGCAUGCCUUACACAUGCAAGUCGAACGGCAGCACGGGAGCAAUCCUGGUGGCGAGUGGCGAACGGGUGAGUAAUAUAUCGGAACGUGCCCAGUCGUGGGGAUAACGUAGCGAAAGCUACGCUAAUACCGCAUACGAUCUAUGGAUGAAGCGGGGGAUCGCAAGACCUCGCGCGAUUGGAGCGGCCGAUAUCAGAUUAGGUAGUUGGUGAGGUAAAGGCUCACCAAGCCAACGAUCUGUAGCUGGUCUGAGAGGACGACCAGCCACACUGGAACUGAGACACGGUCCAGACUCCUACGGGAGGCAGCAGUGGGGAAUUUUGGACAAUGGACGCAAGUCUGAUCCAGCCAUUCCGCGUGCAGGAUGAAGGCCCUCGGUUGUAAACUGCUUUUGUACGGAACGAAAGGUUUGUCUUAAUACGAUGAGCUCAUGACGGUACCGUAAGAAUAAGCACCGGCUAA
rnacentral:rRNA from 1 species